rnacentral:rRNA from 1 species
UACGUAGGGAGCAAGCGUUGUCCGGAAUCAUUGGGCGUAAAGCGCGCGUAGGUGGCCCAUGUAAAGUCCGCUGUGAAAAGUCAAAAGGCUCAACCUUUGAAAGCCGGUGGAUACUGCAUGGCUAGAGUACGGAAGAGGCGAGUGGAAUUCCUGGUGUAGCGGUGGAAUGCGCAGAUAUCAGGAGGAACACCAAUAGCGAAGGCAGCUCGCUGGGGACGUUACUGACACUGAGGCGCGAAAAGCGUGGGGGAGCGAAACAGG